GAGUUUGAUCGUGGCUCAGAUUGAACGCUGGCGGCAGGCCUAACACAUGCAAGUCGAGCGGUAGAGAGAAGCUUGCUUCUCUUGAGAGCGGCGGACGGGUGAGUAAUGCCUAGGAAUCUGCCUGGUAGUGGGGGAUAACGCUCGGAAACGGACGCUAAUACCGCAUACGUCCUACGGGAGAAAGCAGGGGACCUUCGGGCCUUGCGCUAUCAGAUGAGCCUAGGUCGGAUUAGCUAGUUGGUGAGGUAAUGGCUCACCAAGGCGACGAUCCGUAACUGGUCUGAGAGGAUGAUCAGUCACACUGGAACUGAGACACGGUCCAGACUCCUACGGGAGGCAGCAGUGGGGAAUAUUGGACAAUGGGCGAAAGCCUGAUCCAGCCAUGCCGCGUGUGUGAAGAAGGUCUUCGGAUUGUAAAGCACUUUAAGUUGGGAGGAAGGGCAGUAAAUUAAUACUUUGCUGUUUUGACGUUACCGACAGAAUAAGCACCGGCUAACUCUGUGCCAGCAC
rnacentral:rRNA from 1 species